AUUUGCACGUUUUGAUUUUACACGUUUUGCUUUGUCACGAAGAGGAUUGUAUGUUUUGUUUAGGCACGGGCUGUACGAGUUGGGCUAGCUGUGGUGAGAGCGAGGCUUCUGGGAGGUGUAGUUUUGCUGUCAUUAUUUACGAGGAGACUAAUGAUUUGAUCAGAUACAGGUGGAAAUAAUUUAGAUCAGCGGACAAUAGGUCGGUAGUACAGAAAGGCAGGGAACGUUUCUGUAUUCAACAGGAAGAAGAAAACAACAGAGAAAAAAGCGGAGAGGACAAAGAGAAGAGAAGAAAGGAAGAGUGAAAGUGAAAGCAGCCUCGGGACGCGAGCGGCGUGGAUCUGUAUUUGGAAUCAAUUACGGAAGCAGCAACAGGGACGGGAGCGGCGUGGAUCCGAGUCUGGAACAAAACACAAAAUAGAGGGGGCCACGCAGGACCAGUCCAGGCUGCUGCAGAACCACCCUGACACCAAUCCCUUUCAUCCCUGACACGAAUCCCCUUCAUGGUCCUGGAAGAACGGUUACUUCGGUGCUGCAGCAAGUGGGCGUGGCCUAAAUCAUUUUUUCUACUUUUCGGUGUAGUUUUUUUUUAUUUGCUACUUUUCCACCCUUGUCGUAAUGUGGGUGGUGAUCGGUUGGUUUUAAACAUUUUGUUUUAUAUUUUAUAAAAAAUAAAAUCUAUUUUAAAGUGUUAGCGCUUGUGCUGUCUGUCCCUGGGUGUGCUGGUCUCUGAUCCUGCAUCCUGCUGUCGCAAUAUUUAACGAACCUGUGUAAAGUAAACAUUGGUACACGUAAUAGUUAUACUGGGUCCUGGUGACCACAACCACCAGGUGGCGUAGUCAGCUACAAUUGGGUGUGACCCGUGACAACCUGGUGACAUUCUGAAGAUCCUAUUGGUGGUUUUUAGUUCCGUUGUAAUUCCCGUACACAUAAAAACCAUAUGCUUACUAUCUAGGAAAAGAUUUAGUUCCAGUUUCUCUUGCAGAGGAAUUACAAACACGCAAGUCACAGUGAGGUGGGAAAAAAACAUAAGCGAGUAGAAUGUAUUGUAGUUUUCGGAGGUCAUUUUUGGGACAGAAAACAUCUACAUCACACUCGUGGACUCCACUGCCACACCAGCAUUGUCCUGCCCCUUAACAAGCAAUACACAGUAUUGGUUGACAGCAGUGUGGAGUAGUGGUUAGGGCUCUGGACUCUUGACCGGAGGGUCGUGGGUUCAGUCCCUGGUAGGGGACACUGCUGUUGUACCCUUGAGCAAGGUACUUUACCUAGAUUGCUCCAGUAAAAACCAAACUGUAUAAAUGGGUAAUUGUAUGUUAAAACAAUGUGAUAUCUUGUAACAAUUGUAAGUCGCCCUGGAUAAGGGCGUCUGCUAAGAAAUAAAUAAUAAUAAUACACACUCCUGAUUCGCUGGUACAGUACUCCCCUGACCUUCCAACUCCCACCUAAUAGGCUCUCGGUAACUGUCAUAGCCACACAUGCUGCUACAUACAGGUAGGCUACCGUAUUACAGAAAAUAAGCAGCCGCUUGACUUCUAAAAUGUCAUGAGUCAUGGAAUAAAAUAUCGGCAGCGUUUGAAAGUCGUAUUAAUAAAGAUCGCCCUCGUAUAAAGGCUGCACUCUUAAGCGCUGCAGUCAUCUUGAUCAAUUUAAAAUAAACGCAGCAGAGCCAAAUUGAAGUAAUACGGUAAUACAGGGUAGUAACAGCAUUUACUAAUGUGUUAUAAACACUGAAUAGAUGAUAUAAGAAAUCUGCAAUAAAUGAAAAUAUAAAACUGUAUAUUAGCUGUAAACAUAUCAGGACAAAUCACAUUAAACACACAUGAUUUACA